GAGGGUAUAGCUCAGUGGUAGAGCGCAUACUUAGUAUGUAUGAGAUCCUGGAUUCAAUCACCAAUACCUCCA
rnacentral:tRNA from 1 species